rnacentral:rRNA from 1 species
CGUAGGGUGAACCUGCGGAAGGAUCAUUG